rnacentral:lncRNA from 1 species
UCAUAUACAACAACUUAUUAAAAUAUAAUUUAUCAAUAAUUACAACCGUGCAUAAACUAAUUACUUACAAAUUAAUUAAUCUUUGGAUAAUAGCGUCUAACCAUAAUGGUUAAAACAGAAAACAAGUUUGAGUGAUACUAUACAACUUUACAUAUAUAUUCAUUAAUUUAAAAAAUUCAAAAACAACUAUUUUGAAUCAUGGAGCAUUUCGAGAAAUCCUAGGAAAUACAUCGUCUAAAAAAUUGCAACCUCAAAGUGUAAAACAGAUAACUGCUGAAGUCACAUGACUUACCUAUCAUGCUGUAUUCCAUAUUGAAGCAUAGCUAAAUUUAGGCUUACCAAAUGACCUUUCAAAAUAUAUUGUUUUCUCUUUCUUCAUGACCCUUCAUGGACCUAGAUAGCCAGUUCAUGAACCAACAUUUCCUCAUGAAAUAAUUUGAAAAAAAAACAAUAUUAGCAACCAAAAUUUAAUGACAAGAGUGGUCAUGAAUGAUCUAGAUUUGAUGACUUAAAACACGGAUCCAAGCAAUACCAAUGCAUAGGUUAUAAGCAUUAAGAAAUCAAAUAUAUGCAAACAAAGUUGAGUCACAUUAAACAAGUUCUAAAGAGUAAACUCUCAUUUACUUUCUCAAAGUGAUAUUUGUUGUCACAAGAGUCUUAAAAGAAAAAAAAAAUUAAGUCUCUAAAUUAAUAUGUUUUUGUUGUUAAUUAUUUUUUUUAUUUUUCAUUUGUGUUAUUGAGUUGUCAAAUUUUUUAUUUAUCACACGUUUACGUGGUGGGACAUAAGAGUCGACAUCUGUUGAUUUAAUUUGAUAUACAAGGAUCAAAAUUAAAAGAACUUUAUCCCUUAGUCUCCAAAUCCAUAAAAA